rnacentral:ncRNA from 1 species
UGCCAGCCUAUCUCAACGGGGGAGAAAAGCGGAGUCAUUAACCGCCUGGCUGGCUAAUCUUUCUUGAUU